rnacentral:rRNA from 1 species
UAAGUCUGUAGUGAAGCGUUCGGCUCAACCGAAUAAACAUUAUGGAAACUGUACAGCUAGAGGACGAGAGAGGUUAUUGGAAUUCCCAGUGUAGGAGUGAAAUCCGUAGAUAUUGGGAGGAACACCGAUGGCGUAGGCAGAUAACUGGCUCGUUCCUGACACUAAGGCACGAAAGCGUGGGGAGCAAACGGGAUUAGAUACCCCGGUAGUCCACGCCGUAAACGAUGGAUGCUA